ACGGGUGAGUAACGCGUAAGCAAUCUGCCCCCUGCUCGGGAAUAGCCGUGCCAACGCGCGGGUAAUACCGGAUAUCGUGGGGCCCUGCAUAGGGCCUUGACAAAAGAUUUAUCGGCAGGGGAUGAGCUUGCGUCCGAUUAGCUAGUUGGCGGGGCAACGGCCCACCAAGGCGACGAUCGGUAGCCGGCCUGAGAGGGUGAUCGGCCACAUUGGGACUGAGAUACGGCCCAGACUCCUACGGGAGGCAGCAGUAGGGAAUAUUGCACAAUGGGGGGAACCCUGAUGCGGCAACGCCACGUGUGGGAAGAAGCAUUUCGGUGUGUAAACCACUGUCGUGAGGGAAUAAGGCUAAUUUUCGGAUUAGUUGAAUGUACCUCGAGAGGAAGCACCGGCAAACUUCGUGCCAGCAGCCGCGGUAAUACGAGGGGUGCAAGCGUUGUUCGGAAUCACUGGGCGUAAAGGGAGCGCAGGCGGAAGCUCAAGCGGAUUGUACAAUACCGGGGCCCAACCCCGGACCUGCAGUCCGAACUGGGUUUCUUGGAUAGUUCAGGGGCAAGCGGAAUUCCUGGUGUAGCGGUGGAAUGCGUAGAGAUUAGGAAGAACACCGAUGGCGAAGGCAGCUUGCUGGGGACUUAUCGACGCUCAUGCCCGAAAGUGCGGGUAGCAAACAGGAUUAGAUACCCUGGUAGUCCGCACCGUAAACGAUGCAUACUGGGUGUCCGCGGUUCGCCGCGGGUACCGUAGCCAACGCGUUAAGUAUGCCGCCUGGGGAGUACGUACGCAAGUAUGAAACUCAAAUGAAUUGACGG
rnacentral:rRNA from 1 species